rnacentral:rRNA from 1 species
GGCCUACCAUGGUGGUAACGGGUAACGGGGUGUUAGGGCACGACACCGGAGAGGGAGCCUGAGAAACGGCUACCACAUCCAAGGAUGGCAGCAGGCGCGCAAAUUACCCAAUCCCGACACGGGGAGGUAGUGACAAUAAAUAACAAUACGGGGUUCUUUCGGAUUUCGUAAUUGGAAUGAGUACAAUUUAAAUCUCUUAACGAGGAACAAUUGGAGGGCAAGUCUGGUGCCAGCAGCCGCGGUAAUUCCAGCUCCAAUAGCGUAUAUUAAAGUUGUUGCAGUUAAAAAGCUCGUAGUUGAAUUUCGGGAUCGACGGGUCGGUCGCGCCUCUGGUGUGUACUGGCCCUGUCGGUUUCUCCCUUCUGACGAACCACGAUGUCAUUAAUUUGGUGUCGUGGGAAAUCAGGACUGUUACUUUGAAAAAAUUAGAGUGUUUAAAGCAGGCAUUCGCUUGAAUACAUUAGCAUGGAAUAAUGAAAUAGGACGUUUGAUCUUAUUUUGUUGGUUUCUAAGAUCGACGUAAUGAUUAAUAGGGAUAGUUGGGGGCAUUAGUAUUCAAUUGUCAGAGGUGAAAUUCUUGGAUUUAUUGAAGACUAACUACUGCGAAAGCAUUUGCCAAGGAUGUUUUCAUUAAUCAAGAACGAAAGUUAGGGGAUCGAAGACGAUCAGAUACCGUCGUAGUCUUAACCAUAAACUAUGCCGACUAGGGAUCGGAUGAUGUUAAUUUUUUAAUGACUCAUUCGGCGCCUUACG